UCAUGAUCCCCCCGCCUUGGCGUCCCAAAGUGUUGGGAUUACAGGUGUGAGCCACUGCGCCCGGCCAAUUUAACCCAUUUUUUCAAGACAAAGUUUCUUCAGGGACUUCCCUGCCCUCAGCUUGAAACAAUAAUAAAAGCAUAUCUGCAUAUACCAAUUAAGGAAGCUGCCCGUGAUACGUUAAAAAUAGUAGUCAUUGUUCUAAGCACUUAACUUGUAUUAUUUCAUUUGCUAUCGAUUAUCUCUUAAAUGAAAAAGUAUGGCUGGGCAGCACUUUGGGAGGCUGAGGCAGGCAGAUGGCUUGAGCCCAGGAGUUCAAGACCAGCCUGGGCAACGUGGUGAAACCUCAUCUCUACCAAAAAAAAAAAAAAAAAUUUAGCCAGGCAUGGUGGUGCAUGCCUGUAGUCCCAGCUACUCAGGAGGCUGAGGCACGAGAAUCACUUGAACCUGGGAGGGAGAGGUUGCAGUGAGCCAAGACUGCGCCACUGCACUCCAACCUGGGCAGCGGAGCAAGACUCUCUCAAAAAACAAAAUGAAACCCUUUAAAAUAGAAGUUGUCAGCCGGGCGUGGUGGUUUACGCCUGUAAUCCCA
rnacentral:lncRNA from 10 species